rnacentral:rRNA from 1 species
UGCUGAAUGUGGGGAUAAUUUAUCUCUGUGUUGUAGCUAACGCGUUAAGCACUCCGCCUGGGGACUACGGUCGCAAGACUAAAACUCAAAGGAAUUGACGGGGACCCGCACAAGCGGUGGAGCAUGUGGUUUAAUUCGAUGCAACGCGAAAAACCUUACCACUCCUUGACAUGGAGAUUAGAUCCUUCUUAACGGAAGGGCGCAGUUCGGCUGGAUCUCGCACAGGUGCUGCAUGGCUGUCGUCAGCUCGUGUCGUGAGAUGUUGGGUUAAGUCCCGCAACGAGCGUAACCCUCAUCCUUAGUUGCCAGCGGGUUAAGCCGGGCACUUUAAGGAAACUGCCAGUGGUAAACUGGAGGAAGGUGGGGAUGAUGUCAAGUCAGCACGGCCCUUAUGGGGUGGGCUACACACGUGCUACAAUGGUGACUACAAUAGGUUGCAAUGUCGCAAGGCUGAGCUAAUCCGUAAAAGUCAUCUCAGUUCGGAUUGUCCUCUGCAACUCGAGGGCAUGAAGUCGGAAUCGCUAGUAAUCGUGGAUCAGCAUGCCACGGUGAAUACGUUCUCGGGUCUUGUACACACUGCCCGUCACGCCA